rnacentral:rRNA from 1 species
AUUGAACGCUGGCGGCAGGCCUAACACAUGCAAGUCGAGCGGCAGCGGGAAAGUAGCUUGCUACUUUUGCCGGCGAGCGGCGGACGGGUGAGUAAUGCCUGGGGAUCUGCCCAGUCGAGGGGGAUAACUACUGGAAACGGUAGCUAAUACCGCAUACGCCCUACGGGGGAAAGCAGGGGACCUUCGGGCCUUGCGCGAUUGGAUGAACCCAGGUGGGAUUAGCUAGUUGGUGAGGUAAUGGCUCACCAAGGCGACGAUCCCUAGCUGGUCUGGGAGGAUGAGCAGCCACACUGGAACUGAGACACGGUCCAGACUCCUACGGGAGGCAGCAGUGGGGAAUAUUGCACAACGGGGGAAACCCUGAUGCAGCCAUGCCGCGUGUGUGAAGAAGGCCUUCGGGUUGUAAAGCACUUUCAGCGAGGAGGAAAGGUUGGUAGCUAAUAACUGCCAGCUGUGACGUUACUCGCAGAAGAAGCACCGGCUAACUCCGUGCCAGCCGCCGCGGUAAAAC